GAUCUUAUAGCUCAGUUGGUAGAGCAUAACACUUUUAAUGUUAGGGUCAUGGGUUCGAGUCCCAUUGAGAUCAC
rnacentral:tRNA from 1 species